rnacentral:rRNA from 1 species
GAUGAACGCUGGCGGCGUGCUUAACACAUGCAAGUCGAACGGGAAUUACUUUAUUGAAACUUCGGUCGAUUUAAUUUAAUUCUAGUGGCGGACGGGUGAGUAACGCGUGGGUAACCUGCCUUAUACAGGGGGAUAACAGUCAGAAAUGGCUGCUAAUACCGCAUAAGCGCACAGAGCUGCAUGGAUCAGUGUGAAAAACUCCGGUGGUAUAAGAUGGACUCGCGUUGGAUUAGCUAGUUGGUGGGGUAACGGCCCACCAAGGCGAAGAUCCAUAGCCGGCCUGAGAGGGUGAACGGCCACAUUGGGACUGAGACACGGCCCAGACUCCUACGGGAGGCAGCAGUGGGGAAUAUUGCACAAUGGGGGAAACCCUGAUGCAGCGACGCCGCGUGAAGGAAGAAGUAUCUCGGUAUGUAAACUUCUAUCAGCAGGGAAGAUAAUGACGGUACCUGACUAAGAAGCCCCGGCUAACUACGUGCCAGCCGCCGCCGUAA